rnacentral:rRNA from 1 species
AAGGGUUCCUGUCCAACGUUAAUCGGGGCAGGGUGAGUCGACCCCUAAGGCGAGGCCGAAAGGCGUAGUCGAUGGGAAACAGGUUAAUAUUCCUGUACUUGGUGUUACUGCGAAGGGGGGACGGAGAAGGCUAUGUUAGCCGGGCGACGGUUGUCCCGGUUUAAGCAUGUAGGCUGGUUGUCCAGGCAAAUCCGGAUAAUCAAGGCUGAGGUGUGAUGACGAGGCACUACGGUGCUGAAGUAACAAAUGCCCUGCUUCCAGGAAAAGCCUCUAAGCAUCAGGUAACAUCAAAUCGUACCCCAAACCGACACAGGUGGUCAGGUAGAGAAUACCAAGGCGCUUGAGAGAACUCGGGUGAAGGAACUAGGCAAAAUGGUGCCGUAACUUCGGGAGAAGGCACGCUGGUGUGUAGGUGAAGUCCCUGCGGAUGGAGCUGAGACCAGUCGAAGAUACCAGCUGGCUGCAACUGUUUAUUAAAAACACAGCACUGUGCAAACACGAAAGUGGACGUAUACGGUGUGACGCCUGCCCGGUGCCGGAAGGUUAAUUGAUGGGGUUAUCCGUAAGGAGAAGCUCUUGAUCGAAGCCCCGGUAAACGGCGGCCGUAACUAUAACGGUCCUAAGGUAGCGAAAUUCCUUGUCGGGUAAGUUCCGACCUGCACGAAUGGCGUAAUGAUGGCCAGGCUGUCUCCACCCGAGACUCAGUGAAAUUGAACUCGCUGUGAAGAUGCAGUGUACCCGCGGCAAGACGGAAAGACCCCGUGAACCUUUACUAUAGCUUGACACUGAACAUUGAGCCUUGAUGUGUAGGAUAGGUGGGAGGCUUUGAAGCGUGGACGCCAGUCUGCGUGGAGCCAACCUUGAAAUACCACCCUUUAAUGUUUGAUGUUCUAACGUUGGCCCCUUACCGGGGUUGCGGACAGUGUCUGGUGGGUAGUUUGACUGGGGCGGUCUCCUCCCAAAGCGUAACGGAGGAGCACGAAGGUUAGCUAAUCCUGGUCGGACAUCAGGAGGUUAGUGCAAUGGCAUAAGCUAGCUUGACUGCGAGCGUGACGGCGCGAGCAGGUGCGAAAGCAGGUCAUAGUGAUCCGGUGGUUCUGAAUGGAAGGGCCAUCGCUCAACGGAUAAAAGGUACUCCGGGGAUAACAGGCUGAUACCGCCCAAGAGUUCAUAUCGACGGCGGUGUUUGGCACCUCGAUGUCGGCUCAUCACAUCCUGGGGCUGAAGUAGGUCCCAAGGGUAUGGCUGUUCGCCAUUUAAAGUGGUACGCGAGCUGGGUUUAGAACGUCGUGAGACAGUUCGGUCCCUAUCUGCCGUGGGCGCUGGAGAAUUGAGGGGGGCUGCUCCUAGUACGAGAGGACCGGAGUGGACGCAUCACUGGUGUUCGGGUUGUCAUGCCAAUGGCACUGCCCGGUAGCUAAAUGCGGAAGAGAUAAGUGCUGAAAGCAUCUAAGCACGAAACUUGCCCCGAGAUGAGUUCUCCCUGAGACUUUAAGUCUCCUGAAGGAACGUU